rnacentral:tRNA from 1 species
GGAGGCGUGUGGGUGCCUGGUGGCCCUCCCGGUCUUCAAAACCGAGGUGUCCGAGGAUCUCGGGCAGGCAGGUUCGAUUCCUGUGCGCCUCCGC